AGUGAACGCUGGCGGCAGGCCUAAUACAUGCAAGUCGAACGGCAGCACAGCAGAGCUUGCUCUGUGGGUGGCGAGUGGCGGACGGGUGAGGAAUACAUGGGAAUCUGCCCAGUCGUGGGGGAUAACGUAGGGAAACUUACGCUAAUACCGCAUGCGCCCUUCGGGGAAAGCCGGGGACCUUCGGGCCUGGCGCGAUUGGAUGAGCCCAUGUCGGAUUAGCUAGUUGGCGGGGUAAUGGCCCACCAAGGCGACGAUCCGUAGCUGGUCUGAGAGGAUGAUCAGCCACACUGGAACUGAGACACGGUCCAGACUCCUACGGGAGGCAGCAGUAGGGAAUAUUGGACAAUGGGCGCAAGCCUGAUCCAGCCAUGCCGCGUGAGUGAAGAAGGCCCUCGGGUUGUAAAGCUCUUUUGUCCGGAAAGAAAGCGCCGGGUUAAUACCCUGGUGUCCUGACGGUACCGGAAGAAUAAGCACCGGCUAACUUCGUGCCAGCAGCCGCGGUAAU
rnacentral:rRNA from 1 species